UACGUAGGGGGCAAGCGUUGUCCGGAAUCAUUGGGCGUAAAGAGCGUGUAGGCGGCCAGAUAAGUCCGCUGUGAAAUCUCAAGGCUCAACUUCGAGCUGUCGGUGGAAACUGUCUGGCUAGAGUCCGGAAGAGGAGAAUGGAAUUCCUGGUGUAGCGGUGAAAUGCGCAGAUAUCAGGAGGAACACCGGUGGCGAAGGCGGGUCCCUGGGCCGAUACUGACGCUGAGGAGCGAAAGCGUGGGGAGCGAACAGG
rnacentral:rRNA from 1 species